GGUGUAUGGCUCAGUGGUAGAGUACUUGCUUAGCAUGCAUGAGGCUCUGGGUUCAAUCCUCAGCACCA
rnacentral:tRNA from 1 species